GCAGGGCUGAUGGAGCUCUUGGAAAGAAGUCAGUAUCCAGCUUAUCCCUAGUCUAGCACUCUGCUGUGAAGUCAGAAACCCAUUAACAAGCAAGGCUGUAGUGAACCUCUUCCUUAAGGGAUUGUGGAAUGCACACAUCCCGGAAUACAGUUGGGUGAUCCAUUAAGCUAAGCAAGAGCUAUGAACAACCUAGUGACGCGGUGGCAAGCAUCGAUACGAGGAAGGUGAUAGAUCAGAUACGAUUUCCUUCAUAGGAUACUCUUUUUCCUUCGGAUUGUGGAAUGAUAGGAAGGGCCUAAUAGUAGUGAUUUAGUGCGAUGUGAGGUGCCCCGCGCGUGAGACUUUCUGAGGUUAAGAAAAUAAUAACAGGGCGGCUUUCUUAGACUCGGCUCUACAGCACUCUUUGAGUAAGUUCGCUAACGAGGUAGCAGUUCUACACGAAUGAAAACAGACCUAUCUUCUCUUUCUUGGGCGGGGCACCAAAUUCAUGUAUCUUUACCAAUUAACCAAUUUCUUGACGUUGGGGUGGAUCCUAAAGAGAUACCACUUCCUCAUGAAUUUAUCUUGAAUCGGGACCUUUUGGCUCAACUUUAUCCUAGUUUUGCCGAAGGAGCAACCCCUUUUUUCACUUUAAAUUGGUCCAAAUACGCAGAAUUUCUGACUUUUCGCGGAGGACUAGAUCCAGUAACCGGUGGUCUCUGGCUGACCGAUAUUGCGCACCAUCAUUUAGCUAUUGCUAUUCUUUUCCUAAUCGCAGGUCAUAUGUAUAGGACCAAUUGGGGUAUUGGCCAUGGACUUAAAGAUAUUUUGGAGGCUCACAAGGGCCCAUUUACAGGACAAGGCCAUAAGGGUCUUUAUGAAAUCUUAACAACGUCAUGGCAUGCUCAAUUAUCUCUUAACCUAGCUAUGCUAGGCUCUACAGCCAUUGUUGUAGCUCAUCAUAUGUAUUCUAUGCCUCCCUAUCCAUACCUAGCUACUGACUAUGGUACACAACUUUCCUUGUUCACACACCACAUGUGGAUUGGCGGAUUUCUAAUAGUCGGUGCUGCUGCACAUGCAGCAAUUUUUAUGGUAAGAGACUAUGAUCCAACUACUCGAUACAACGAUCUAUUAGAUCGCGUCCUUAGACACCGCGAUGCAAUCAUAUCCCACCUUAACUGGGUAUGUAUAUUUCUAGGUUUUCACAGUUUUGGCUUGUACAUUCAUAAUGAUACCAUGAGUGCUUUAGGCCGUCCACAAGAUAUGUUUUCGGAUACUGCCAUACAAUUACAACCUAUCUUUACUCAAUGGGUACAAAAUAUCCAUGCUACUGCGCCUGGCGUAACAGCUCCUGGUGCAACAACAAGUACUAGCUUAACGUGGGGAGGCGGCGAGUUAGUAGCAGUAGGUGGCAAAGUGGCUUUGUUACCUAUUCCAUUAGGAACCGCAGAUUUUUGAGUCCAUCACAUUCAUGCAUUUACCAUACAUGUGACUGUAUUAAUACUUUUGAAAGGUGUUUUAUUUGCUCGGAGUUCCCGUUUGAUACCCGAUAAAGCAAAUCUAGGUUUUCGCUUUCCUUGCGAUGGGCCUGGCCGA